rnacentral:rRNA from 1 species
GUGCCAGCCGCCGCGGUAAGACGUAGGAUGCGAGCGUUAUUCGGAUUUAUUGGGCGUAAAGCGUGCGUAGGCGGCUGUUUAAGUCUGGUGUUAAAGCUAGGGGCUCAACCCCUGUGGUGCAUCGGAUACUGGGCAGCUUGAGUGCGGUAGGGGAAGGUGGAAUUCCGAGUGUAGCGGUGAAAUGCGUAGAUAUUCGGAAGAACACCGGUGGCGAAGGCGACCUUCUGGGCCGCAACUGACGCUGAGGCACGAAAGCCUGGGGAGCGAACGGGAUUAGAUACCCCUGUAGUCC